rnacentral:rRNA from 1 species
UACGUAGGUGGCAAGCGUUGUCCGGAAUUAUUGGGCGUAAAGCGCGCGCAGGCGGUCCUUUAAGUCUGAUGUGAAAGCCCACGGCUCAACCGUGGAGGGUCAUUGGAAACUGGGGGACUUGAGUACAGAAGAGAAGAGUGGAAUUCCACGUGUAGCGGUGAAAUGCGUAGAUAUGUGGAGGAACACCAGUGGCGAAGGCGACUCUUUGGUCUGUAACUGACGCUGAGGCGCGAAAGCGUGGGGAGCAAACAGG